ACUCUGUGUAUUGGCAAUCCUGCCAGAAGAUGUAGCUGUGGACUUCCUCCAUCCUGGUAUGUAUUUUUUCCUUGAGGUUUUCUUUAUUUUCUGAGGUUGUUGUUUGUGACAAUUAUACUCCCCUCUCUUUUCAGUUUAACCUUUCUUGGCCAAAUCCAAGGUCAGAGAGAGCGAUCUGCUACGGUCUGCCUAGUAAAAUGCAUGUCUCCUGAUUAGGAAAUUGAGCUUCUACCAUUUGCCAAGCCUUGGUUGCUUACAGGGAGAGAUGCUGACUCAUAGAACAGGCAAGAAAAAAAUACCAUCAAUUCCCAGUGACCAAGGACUUGUGCUUGGAUCAUGAACCAAAUACCUCCAGAAUGAGUGUCUGCAAUCGCUAAGAAAUACAGCUGGGCUUCACAUUGUGUGCCAGCUCCAGCUGAAUGGUCGUGGCUGCCUGGAACUCUGUGUUAGGAGCUUCUCAGUAGCAAGUGGUAUGUGUGGGAAAAUGUGCUAUGAUUGUCAGCAAUGUCUACUUGGGCAUGGCAUGUGGAAGUGAUAGCAUGGGUUCUGUGAAAUUUUCAUUGUUGAUUCUUGUCUAAUUAUUCCUUCAUAGUAUGCUUUAUUUUUCCAUAUAUAUAUAUAUAUGGAAAAUAUAUAUAUUUUUUGGUUUCUAAAUUUGAUGUUGUAAAAUUUGUUUCUAGAAAGAUUGAUGUAUCAUAAUAGCCAUCUGGCUCUUGUAUUGUUUGCCCAGUUGGGGCUAUUACAAAAUUGUACCCUAUCUAUCACCUCUGACAGACUUCAUAGCAGAGAGCAAAUAUCCCCCUUGGACUGUGAAGAAACAGAUUUUGAUCUAAGAAAGCAAAGAGAUAUGCAAUAUAAAUUCACUAUUAUUUUUAUUAGGGAAAUGAUGCUAGAGACUUCAAUGACUUUGCAAAGAGCUCUGUCAGUUCAGUAUGCUUUCAAUUGCAAACAACAGCAAACCCAGUCAACAAUGGUUUAAAAUUAUGUGACUAAACUAUUCACACCACAAGAUUCAGGAAAUGGGUAGUUUCUGAUAUUUGUUCAAUUGCACAAUAGCAUCACAGACUGCACGCCUUUGAUACCCUUGGAAUGUUUCUCAUGGCUACCAAAUGGUAGCCACGGACCCCAGGACUACAUCUCAUGCCUACCUUUAUGUCACAAAGCACAGGGCACGGUGAAGCAUCUGUGACUUCUGCUCCUUUCAUCAGUAAAGAGAAAACUUUCACGCGUGACCUGUGAACUUUAUAUUCUCUGUUUGGAAGAUGUCCCGAGGCUCACCCUGGUUGCAGGGGAAACUGAAAAAGCUCACAUGUAGCUUUCCUGGCCUCUGUGGUGAAGGAGGCCAGAGAGGAAGGCUUUGGGGGUGAGUAUUGACUGAUCAGCCAAUCGAUUUCCUCACGAUCCACGUCUUUGAUGAGCAGGCAUUCCUGCACAGACUUUCCCCAUAUAGUCCAAAUGAAGUCAACUCAUUUGUCUUUCACAGUAAGUCCACAUGUAAUUUGUUUGAAAGUAUAGCUUGAAAUGCAGCAUCGUCGGGUGAAGUACAUCAGAUCCAGAUGUAGAUUUUUCUGGUCUGGUGAUAAAAGGCCAGUUGUCUGUUCCUGUCACACAGUAAAGGGACAGGAGAACAAUGGCUUUCUAACUUGGAAAAAGAAUGGGAAUUACAUACACAUCAUCGUUUCCGGAUGCCUAUAAUAGCAAAGACUUUGUCCUGACAGUGGAAUGAAUUCUUCUAUGAGGCCAUUUGCCCGUUCCUGUCUUUUCUAGGUCUGCUAGGAUCUGGGAGGACUCAGGAGGUCAUUAUGCUGAUGAUGUUUGCUGCCACCUCUGAAGUAGACCUAGGAGAAGAUUUGCUUUUCUGAGGAAAUCUGCUAAGGUCUGGACCUAGUUCAAGUGCCCACAAAGGUCCACUGUGAUUGAAGACUCGACCCUCAGGAUGGCAUUGCUGGGAAGACAGGCCCUAGGUCAUUAGGGGAUGCCCUUGGAAGGAAGGAAUUGUGACAGCUCUCUGACUUCCUUCCUGUCCGAUGAUGGAAGCCCUUCUACACGCAUGUGCCUCUACCAUGAGGUGACACAGUGGACAGGCAAGGCCUCACCAGAACCAAGGCAAUGGCAGCACCAUGAGUGGAACCUCACAAACCACAUUCUAAAUAAACCUGUUCUUCAUGAGAAGGGGUGUGAGAGAUGCAAAGCACAGAAGGCUCUAAGUGUUUCAUGGAGAAGAGCUUCUGGGAGAAGAAUCUUCAUGUGGUAACAGCAGGAGGAAAAAACCCUACUGUCAAGAUGAAAAUCAAUGGAAAACAUCUGGGCCCUCCCCCAACUAGAGUCCUUUCCCCCAAUUUAUUUUCUAGUAAGACUUUGAUUUUUAUUAAGAAUGGACUCCAUUGCCUUCCAUCAUUAAGCCCAAACACAAACUUGUUCCCCAGAGAGCGGCAAUCACGUUAGUUCCUCACAUUCCUGUUUUGCCUUAGAGAACAACAGUGCAGAUGAGCAUGUUAGAUCUCUGUUCAUUGAUUAAAGCCAGCCUUGCUAGGGAUACAUACAGAAAAGGGGCAUUUCCUUAAAUCAAUACAGAAGAGCUUCCAUUUCCUGAGGACCAAGCAAAGGGAUGACACAGAACUACCAGGGUUUGCCCAAGCAUCACAAAGCACCAGGGACCUGGAUAUGUGGGGGGGGGGUGCAAAAAUAUAUGGGUGGCAAACAAGAGAAAGUGAAAUUGAGGAUGGGAAAGGGCCAAGCAGGAAAUAAGAGCAGCUUUAAGCUCCUCAAAACUUUCACAAGAAGCACGUGUAAUGAACUGUUCCAUCUUUAUCUUCAGAUUUGAAUUAAAACAAAUCAAGUUGAGUUGAAUUGAGUGGUCUCAACUCAAGAUCAAAGAGACAACUCUGUGACAUGGUGUCCGGAAGACGAGGUGUCACUUAAGGGAACUCAAGGACCCACCCGAAAAGCAUCUAUGAGAUCAGGGCAUCAAUACAUAUUGUUGAUAGUGAAGACAAGGUGCCCUGUGGACUCCAAGGUUUCCUCUUACCCUCACAUAUCUCCUCUUAUUCCAAAAUGCUUACAGGAUAGUCCCUGGCCAACAGCUGGCGUGCUCUGUGAAGAAUUUCUACAUAAAACAAGUAGCAGAGAGAACUGCAGUUAACCCAGGGGAACUUACCCGUGCGAUAGUUGAAGGGUAAGUCCCUCCCUAGAAGCAAGAGCUGCUAUUAAAUAAGACACAACUGCUUUGAGCUUAGUUUGCUGGAAGGAAGUGACGAGGGACAGGGAGAGGGUGAAUUUAGUCAGAAAUAUGGAAAUUAAACAGAUGCCAGAGUAAAGAGGAUACCUGGUCAAAUUUUUUUCCCAAAAAAUAUAUUGGAGGGAGAACAAAUUUUACCAAUAUCAUAGGUAAAGAAGAAGAUAAUCCAAGUUAAACUUAGAUUAUUAAAACUUUACUGCCGAUUGAGAAAAAAUUGACUUGGAUAUAACAAGGAUCUGUGUUUAGGAAAGGUAAAACCUAGUGCAGACUGCUGGGGGACAAAAGCAGGUGAGUUCCCACCAGUGAGGACCAGCCCAAUACAGCCAUUGAUAAGAUGGAAAUCCGGGGUGGACUAGACCCACAACCAGCAAGAGGUUUUCAUCAAUUCCUUAGGAGGGAACAAUUAGGAAUUAAAAUGAGAGUUGUAUUUACAUACAAUUUGACUAUGCUAAAUAUAGUUUUGUUUCCAUUAUACUUAUAGCUAAACAAGCCAGUGUUUCUAUUUUGUUAGUUGUCCUGGCAAAUGAAUGAUCACAGACUCCAAUCAAGUAAUUGAAUGAGUGUUCAAUAGAGAAAAUGAUGUCAAAGAUACAGGAAGGAGUCAGGAAAUAGAGCAGUGAAGUAGUGCUUCACCAGUCACCCAUCACUAUCUCUAGGAAUAAAGGGCAGAGAGAAAAAACAGUCACCGGAAGCAAAGAAGGGAAACAGUCAAUGUGGGCCACUCAUAGGCCAUCUCAUCUUCUGAUGAGACUCUAGCAGGUGGAGCACCAUGAAUCCAUGGGAGAGUGAGGAAGGCAGCAAAACUUUGUCUCCUUUCUCCUUGCUUCUUUCCAGUGGUCCCAUUGGCUACCUCCAACAGAAGCCAGAGCCCACGGAACUCCAUUGCUGUAGGGUGGAUAGGUUAGCCUCUCAAGGCAAAGGUGAGGGGGGGAGGAAGAGAGGUGAGCAAAGGCCCAGAGACAAGAUUGCCUGCAGUCCAAUCCCCCAGGCCCUCAGCAACCAUGCUGGCCUGCAGGCAGCAAAAACUUACGACUUAAUGUUGCUAGUGUAUCAUGGGGUGACGCCAGUUCCUUCAUUCUUCUACAUGAAAUUUAAAUAUUAGUCAAUGGUUAUGGUGUAAAUUAGUGGAAAACAAAUAAUCAUGACAUUUAGCUUUCUUAAUCUUGCUUUAAUUGCUGGUGUGAGGCCUACUUUGCUAAUCAUGACUACCAUCUUCUGCCACUUACUCAGGUUCCUGGUGCCUUCUGCCUGUACCUGGCUGGAUAGGUGGUGGCCUGAACCUUUAUUCCCACAGGUCUGUGUCCUUACUGUUGUUGCUUUUGGAGGGGAUGUAAGCAGAUUCAAUUUUUAAUCAUAAAUUCUGUUGGGUAAAAGGCUAAUAAGAAGUCUCCUUGAGGGCCUCCUGUGUUGCAAGCAUAGUCCCCCUUGUGCUCACUGAUGGCAGCAAUCACCCUCAUAGAGUUGUCGCCUGGCAUUGAUCCCGUCAGGCCAGGAUCAGUCAUGCAGGUAGGAACGUCCCCCUUCUCUGCCUGUUGGUGCAUCUCCACAAGGAACCACGCAUGGCUGAGGAGGAAUCAGCUUGAAUUUCAAGGGAGUCAGCGGGUAGCAUCUUGUUGCCAGGUGUUUCUCCUUUGGCAUUAGGAUCUCCAAAUACAUAAGCUUUCAUAGAGCUAAACCAGGGAAUGUCAUUAGUAUUACCUGCCCAUUGUUGCAUUGCCCUUGUCUUAAAAUGCGCCACCUGGUUGGAGGUCCUAUUCUGAGGGGUACUGUUUCCAGGCAUGUGUCAUAAAGUUCCACAGACUGAGAGGUUUAGAAAACAGAAACUCAUUUUCCCACAGAUCUAACAGUCCAAAGUCCAAGGUCAGAUGUGGCAGUGCCAUGCUUCCUGGGAAUUCUGUGGGAAAGGAUUGUUCUAGGCCUCUCUCCUAGCUUCUGGUGGUUCAUGGCUUAUGUCAACAGGCCUCCCAUCUCCACACUGUAUUCUCCCUGUGCGUGUGUGUGUGUGCGCGCGCGGACCUGUGUGUGUGUCUCCUUCCAUGCACAAAUUAGUCUUUUUCUAUAAGGACCUAAGAUACAUUGUAUAAAUGGCUAACCAUGCACCUGUGUGACUUCGUCUUACUCAACUGAUUGUAUCUGCUAUGACCCUAUUUCCAAAUAAGGUUAUACUCUGAGACAUGGUUGGUAGAUCAAGACUUCAGCAUAUGAAUUUUAAGGGAUAUAAUACAAUUCAGCCCAUGACAGGUGCCAUAACAAUCAAUAAGCCUAUUUCUCCUUCCACACCAAGUGUUUGAGUCGAUCACCUGAAGUACCCCUGAAAGAAUGACUUUUUCGUAGCAAAAUGGAAGGUCUCCAUCACAGUUACUACUCCAUGAGGUCAGAGCAUCUUAAAUGACCACUUCUGCUAUCUUUACGAGGUCCUGAAUUACAGGAUUCUUUCAAGUGCUCAUUGUAUAUAAAUGCCAAGAUUGAG